rnacentral:rRNA from 1 species
AGUGAACGCUGGCGGUAGGCCUAACACAUGCAAGUCGAACGGCAGCACAGUAAGAGCUUGCUCUUACGGGUGGCGAGUGGCGGACGGGUGAGGAAUACAUCGGAAUCUACUUUUUCGUGGGGGAUAACGUAGGGAAACUUACGCUAAUACCGCAUACGACCUACGGGUGAAAGCAGGGGAUCUUCGGACCUUUCGCGAUUGAAUGAGCCGAUGUCGGAUUAGCUAGUUGGCGGGGUAAAGGCCCACCAAGGCGACGAUCCGUAGCUGGUCUGAGAGGAUGAUCAGCCACACUGGAACGGAGACACGGUCCAGACUCCUACGGGAGGCAGCAGUGGGGAAUAUUGGACAAUGGGCGCAAGCCUGAUCCAGCCAUACCGCGUGGGUGAAGAAGGCCUUCGGGUUGUAAAGCCCUUUUGUGGGGAAAGAAAAGCAGCAGGUUAAUACCCCGCUGUUCUGACGGUACCCAAAGAAUAAGCACCGGCUAACUUCGUG